rnacentral:tRNA from 1 species
AGGGGGUUGGUGUAAGUUGCAUGUUUGAUUUGCAUUCAAAAGGUUUAAACCCUCUA